CACAGGGUAACCAGGAGAGAAUAAGAGGGAGCUGAGAGAGGCCAGACUCAGCUGGGAGCUCUUUGAAGCUGAGCUCUCGGGUCCUCUCGCCAUGGCCUGGCCUCUCGUCUGUCUCUCACUGCUCACCUUCUGCUCAGGCUCCCUCUCCCAGCCUGUGGUGACUCAGCCUCCCUCUGCCUCUGCAGCCCUGGGGAGCUCAGCCAGACUCUCCUGCACCCUGAGCAGUGGGAUCAGUGGUAGAACGGUUGGUUGGUACCAGCAGAGCCCAGGAAAGCCCCCUCGGUACCUCAUGUGGGUUUACAGUGAUGCAGAUAUAAUCAGGGCCGACGGGAUCCCUGAGCGCUUCUCUGGCUCCGGAUCUGGGACUAACCGAUUCCUGUCCAUCAGCAACGUCCAGCCUGAGGAUGAAGCCGAUUAUUUCUGCCAGUCAGAUUACUACAUUAGUGAUGAAGCUGUCAAGGUCUGUACCUCGCGCCGGCAAUGCUCGGCGAUUCUGCUCCACGCCUGCGUCUUUCUAGCGACUGGCAACAAGGUGUCUUUCCACUUCCGGCUCUCUGGCUUCCGCGCUAGUUUGUUGCAGCCCCUCCUCCACCAAAGGGGUCUGCUCCGGAGCUGGCAUUCCUCUUUCCAGGAGGCGGUGGCGGCGGCCAACUUCCCCCUGUACCCCGUGCCCAUGGUGCCCCUUGGCGACAACACAGAGUCAGCCCCGGAGCUCUGGGUGCUGCUGAGCUCCAUCGAACAGCCCCACAACUGA